rnacentral:rRNA from 1 species
UGGGGAAUAUUGGACAAUGGGGGCAACCCUGAUCCAGCAAUGCCGCGUGAGUGAUGAAGGCCUUCGGGUUGUAAAGCUCUUUUGCCAGGGACGAUGAUGACGGUACCUGGAGAAUAAGCCCCGGCUAACUUCGUGCCAGCAGCCGCGGUAAUACGAAGGGGGCAAGCGUUGUUCGGAAUUACUGGGCGUAAAGGGCGCGUAGGCGGCCGAUCAAGUCAGGCGUGAAAUUCCCGGGCUCAACCUGGGGGCUGCGCUUGAUACUGAUUGGCUUGAAUGCGGGAGAGGAUAGUGGAAUUCCCAGUGUAGAGGUGAAAUUCGUAGAUAUUGGGAAGAACACCAGUGGCGAAGGCGGCUAUCUGGCCCGUUAUUGACGCUGAGGCGCGAAAGCGUGGGGAGCAAACA